rnacentral:rRNA from 1 species
UACGUAGGGUGCAAGCAUUGUCCGGAUUUAUUGGGCGUAAAGAGCUCGUAGGCGGCUUGUCACGUCGGGUGUGAAAACUCGGGGCUCAACCCCGAGCCUGCACUCGAUACGGGCUAGCUAGAGUGUUGCAGGGGAGACUGGAAUUCCUGGUGUAGCGGUGAAAUGCGCAGAUAUCAGGAGGAACACCGGUGGCGAAGGCGGGUCUCUGGGCCGAUACUGACGCUGAGGAGCGAAAGCGUGGGGAGCGAACAGG